rnacentral:lncRNA from 1 species
UGUGUGUGUGUGUGUGUGUGUGUAGCAUAUGAAGAUUCCUGUGUAUGACUGUGGACAUAUACUCAGUAUCCCAUGAUUGGUCAGAGGACUCUAUGUCCCUAAGGUCAGAGGACCAAGUUCACAUGCAAGUGCUCACAACAUCAAACGCUGUAUCCACCAGGCUGACUCCUGAGAUUUUUUUUUACUAGUUAUUUUAUAUGUUUAUAUUUUAAAUGUUAUCUCCCUUCCCAGUUUCCCCUCCACAAACCCCCUAUCCUCUCUCCCCCCCACCUCUAUGAAGGUGCUCCCCCAUCUUGCUACCCACUCCUGCCUCUCAGACCAGCAUUCCCCUAUCCUGGGUCAUCAAGCCUCCACACAACCAAAGGUCUCCCCUCCCAUUGAUGCCCAAUAAGGCAAUCCUCUGCUACAUAUCAAGCUGGUGCCAUGGGUACUCCCGAGUGCUCUUUGGUUGGUGGAUUAGAGAUUCUUGCAAUUCUCCUACCUCUGUCUUACAUCUCUUUAGGAUUACUGGGAUUACAGGCAUUUAUCUUUAUGUGGGAUCUAGAGUUGGUUGAGUGGUGAUUGUAUUACCAGGUGAACCAUCUCCCCAGGCCACAUACAGCCACUUAUAAUUGACAGUCAAAUUAGAGGAGGGCUUUUCCUCCUUGGUUUGUCUUUCUCUUACUUGUAUCUGCAGUGGUCCUUGUAUAAAGUAGUAGGAUAUCCUUGGUUCCUUAUUUUUCUUUUCUUUCUUUUUCUUAAUUUUAUAUUUUUACCGUUCAGUUGUUACCCACCUUAGCUCCGUUCUUCCAUAGUUAACAUACCUUAUUUUUAUUUUUUUUAACCAUUAGUGUAGCAUGAUUUGGGAGAGAACAUUGUGUUACUGUUGGAAAUAAGUUUUUAAUUUGUCAUAUUUUUACAGGAAUGAAGUGAAAGACCUAAGACUGAGCAGCUGAGCAAAAUCUGGUCUAUUCUUUCAGGCAUUACCUCCUUAGCCUAUGUGAGAUCAAAAGCAAAGUUAUAAAACUGCAAAGUAAACUCUAGUAGUUCAGUAAUCCUUACUGAUGUUCUAGAAUCAUUUGUUUUUGUUAUAUUAAAGGGCAAAAAUAAUUAGUUUAAUUUUAUACACCAUAACUUUGCAAGAAACACUUUAACCUAAAGUUAAACCAUAGAACUGCUUACUUAAAGGAAAUAUUUUAUGUACGCCAGAGGUCAUACUUAAAAAUAAACUAGAUAAUAAUAAAGCAAAUGUAAACUGACAACAGUAUUAAUUAAGCCUGGAAUACGACCUUCUUCAUAAGUUUAUAAUCAUACAUUUAUAUCUUUUAAAAGUUGAUGCCCUAGCGUAGGAGGAUGAUAGAGUGGUGAGGCAGGAGUGGGUGAGUUGGUGGAGAAGCACCCUCAUUGAGGCAAAGUAGAAGGGGGAUGGGAUGGAAAUUUAUGGAAGGGAAACCAGGAAGGGGUAUCAUUUGAAGUGUAACUGAAAAAAAUUAUUAAUAAAAACUUCAGAUACUUUAACAUAAACCUUGAAUUUUCAUGUUUUAUUUCAUGUGAGACUGUGCAACUCUGUGCAUUUCCCAGAUCGUGUAAGCUGUAAGCAUUCAAAUUACAUGAAGCCAUAGCCAUUACAGCACUGCAUGUAAAAAAGAACAGUGAGAAUGCAGCAAUUUGCAUGCCUUAGGGAAUGAACAAAGUGGGACAACUGAAAAAGAAGAACUGAUGGACACACAGACAUGUUUAUAGAAAAGUGGAGUUUAGGUAGGCAUUAUGCUCUCAUAAAGAUGAACCAAAACCCAGAAACUCAGUGCACUCACUUUAUAUAUCUGAAUAAAUGAGGCAGGUUUAUUAUAUUUAACUGAACAUGGAGACUAGUUUAGCUAAUCUAAGUAGUGGGUCUUUGUAGGUCAGCACUCUUGAGCUGUUAACACCCUGAAAGAAUAAGCUAUAAUCGACAUUUCUGUUCAGUGCCAGGUUCUCAGCAACUUUUAAAAUGGUUUUCAGAGUUUUUUCUGUAUAGCUCAACUCAUCACUCAUACUCAUUGAUUUAUUUAUCUACUCAACUAUUCCUUACCAAAUUGCAAUACUUCCUGGGUACAUUUCAGGUCUUAUAAAUGGUUCUCAGAAACAGAAACAUGGCUGCAAACAAAACAAAAU